CGGGAGGUGCUGUAGGGCCCUACUGCCUAACACUUGCUGACGAGGACAUCCUUGCAAAGAAUGAGAUCGUGGAUCCUAGCAUCGGCCUCCAGAAAAGGAAGGAAUGAUCCAUGUCGGGCAAGGUGUGCACGUCAACCAGGAAUGCGGGCAACAUGCGGAAAGCAGAGUGUGACUCCAUGUUUUGCAAGAUCACUGCU